ensembl:lncRNA novel transcript
AGACACGUGUGCAACUCUGGGGUGAAAGACACCAGCUUCUUCUGCAGAUUACCUGUAUCAUUUGGGUUUGAAGCAUAUUCUGAUGUGUCUUUGUGAAUACCAGUUUAUUCUCAAGGAUUUUAGGUUGUCUUUUCUUUUCUUUUUUUUUUUUUUCUAUUUCGUUUAGAGCUUUUCUUCCUGAUGGCUUAUCUACCGAUCAAAGCAACUUCUACCUCACCAGCAGAUACAGAGGCAACUUCUUCCAUAGAUUUCUUCACCAGUUUUCCUUAGCUGUCUCCUUGGAAAGCAGAUACCAUGUCAUGGAAAUGCCAUAGGAAAAAAUGUGAGGUCUCCAGUCAACCGACCACAUGGAAUUGAAACCUGUCAACAAACAAGUAGUGAGUUUGGAAGCAGAUCCUCCAACCCCAUUUGAGCCUCAUGAGAGACCCUGAGACUAAAACACAAGCUAAGCCACUUCUGGAUUCCUGACAAACAGAAACUAAGAGGAGUCCCAUCAAAUUUUAGUCACAAAAUUAAAGGGGAAAAGGAAAAAGGAAGGAGCAGAAUGAUGCAGUAGAAGAGUCCACUGAUCACUGUCCCCCCACCGACAAGGACACCAAUUUAACAACUAUCUACACAGAAGAAAGACAGAAAGAAAGAAAAAAAAAAAAACACCUUCAUGAGAACCAGAACCAAAAAUCAGAUGAGCACUCAUAGUAGCUGGUUCUAACUUCACAAUGUUGAAAGAAGCACUGAAGAGAGAGAAAAAACACUGAAAUGCCUAUGCCACCCUGCCCCCACCCCCACCCUUCUGCAGUGGCAGCAUGGGACAGAGAGCAUCUCUGGGCCCUGGAGAAGAGAGAACACAGUAAUUGUGAGGCAAUGAACUCAGUGCUGUCCUGGUAGAUCAGAAAGGAAAUCUGGACCAAACUCAGCUAAUGCCCAUCCACAGAGGGAGGAUUUAAAUCAGCCCUAACCAGAGGGAAAUUACUUAUCCCAGCUACCUGAACUUGAGUUCCUGAAAACCUCCCCUCCAAAGGCUACAGUGCUCUGUGUCUCCAAGUAAACUUGAAAGGCAGUCUAAGCCAUAAGAACUGCAACCCUUAGGUGAGUCCUAGUGCUGAACUAGGCCCAGAGACAGUGGACUAGGGGACACGUCACAUACUGAGAUAUAAGCUGGGGCCACCAAGGGAAUGCUGGCAUUAUCCCUUCCCUAACCCCAGGCUGCACAGCUUGUGGCUCUAAAAGAGACCCCUUUCUUCCUCUAGAGAAGAGGACAGGGAAGAACUUUGUCUUGCAUAUUGGAUACCAGCUCAACCACAGCAGGAUAGGACACCAGUCGGGGUCAUGAGGAAGCAGUUCCAGGCCCUAGCUCCCAGGUGCCAUUUCUAGACACAUGUGCUGCCUUAAAGGAAAGGAGUCAGUCUUGACAGCAUUCAACAGCUGCUAACUGAAGAACCCUUGGACCCCGAACAACGAGCCUGGAUACCCAGAUACUAUGUCAAGUGUCUUGGGUAAGCCUCUGAGACUUGCUGGCUUUAGGUACAGCAUGGUCACAGGAGUGUAGAGCACAAAAGUAGCCUGAUGGUAUUCCUGAUUCCAGGACCUGACCCUUGGAUGGCAUUUCUGAAACCUGCCCUGAAGCAGAGGGGAACCCAGUACCCUGAAAGGUGAGUCCCAGACCAAGCAACAUUCACCAAAAGCUGAAUGAAGAGCCUUUGGGAUUUAAGGGAACAUUGGCAGCAGUCUGGCAGUACGCCCCAUGGUGAGGGGUGGCAAUAGCUAUGGGGUAAGGCUCUUCUGCCUUUGUAAAGGGAAGGGAACAGUAGAAAGGACUGUGUCUUGUCAUUUGAGUGCCAGCUCAGAACAGUAAAAAAGAACACCAGAUAAACUCCUAAGGUUGUUUGACUGUAAUCCCUGACUCCUGGAUGGCACAUCUGGACCCACCUGGGGCCUGGGAAACAUUGCUGCCCUGAAGGGAAGGACACAGGCCUGGCUAGUUUUUCCAUCUGAUGAUUGUUGUCCCAGGGCAUUAAGCAAACAUAGGCAGUAGCUAGUGAGUGGUUACAAGAGGUCUUGGGUGAGACCCAGUGCUGUGCUGGCUUCAGGUCGGACCCAGCACAGUCCCAGUGGUGGUGGCCACAGGGAUGCUUGUGUCACUUCAACCCCAGCUUUAGGUGGCUCAAAACAGAGAGAAAGACUGUGGUUGUUUGGGAGAAUCUAAGGGAAGAUUACAAAAGUCUCUGCCUGGUAAUCCAGAUAAUUCUCCCCGAUCUUAUCCGAGAUCAUCAAGGUGGUACCUCUAAUAGUCUGCAAGAACCACAGCAUUACUGGGGCUUGGGGUGCCCUCUAAAACAGAUAUAGCUUAGAUCACAAUAUCCAAAUCCUUUAAAAUAUCUGGAAAGCCUUCUCAAAAAGAAUGGCUACAAAUAACCCAGACAGUGAAGACUACAAUAAAUAUCUAAAUAUUUAAUGACCAGACUUUAAAGAACAUCGACUAGUAUCAACACCAUUCAGGAAAAAAUGACCUCACCAAAUAAACUAAAUAAUUCACCAGAGACCAAUUGUGGAGAAGCAGGAAUGUGUGAAAUUUCAGAAAGAUAAUUCAAAAUUCUUCAAACUGUAUUGAGGAAGCUCAGAGAAAUUUAAGAUAACAAAGAGAAUUCAGAAUUCUAUUAGAUACAUUUAACAAAGAAAUUGAAAUAAUUAAAAGGAAUCAAGUAGAAAUUCUGGAGCUGAAAUAUACACUUGGCCUACUGAGGAAUGCAUCAGG